rnacentral:lncRNA from 1 species
UCCUCCAGUCCCCAUUGGACUUGACUCAUCAGCGGUUAAACGUGCUGGCUUCCCAAAGUUAAUAUCCACGUGAACAGGAAGCUGUUUGAUUCUUGCUCGCGGCCGUCGACGGGUUCAUCGACGAUGAGAAAUCUUCAGAAUAAUCGCGAGGAGAGCACAAAAAUAAAUUUGUACGAAUCCCGAUCAUUCUACGAGCUGCCAUGGGAUCUUUGUGCACGCAUCAGCAUAAUCGAUCCAACGCUUGUAGCUUCAGCGUCAAUGUUGCCUAUACAGUAUCGGUAUUUCGUGCUGACGUUUUACAAUCGUAACAGCUUGCAUCAUCAGGGUUAAGAGCUCUGAUAAGUGGUCCACGCACACACGGAGAGCACAAAUGAAGAUUUUCAUCGUAUAGUUAUACGACUGUGAAUUCGCGGAGUGUACAGUUGUUGCGGCGGUGUCUUAAUGAUCAGAAUAAAUCUGCGGUACUCGCAUCGCUGAACGGAUGAAAUUCAGGCUAGUAAAUAGUGCGCGCCUCAUUCGUUUGUUGUACGAUUAUCAAUCAUCCCUCGCCCCGCCUCCUCUCUCAAAUCUUCUCUCGCUUUUUUAUUCGCAUUUAUUCGCGAGCCUUUUGUAGUGUCACCUUGUGGCACGUAGGCUAAACGAUCCAUAGAAAUGGUUCAGCGAUGGAAGAAGAAGAACGAAAAGAGGCUUUGCGUUCGUUACGAAAGUAAAAGAUCAAGACAAUUCUGGACGGUGCUUAACAACAAUUUUUAUCUUCUGGUUCGCGUUGGCAGGCACUCACGCAGGGAGUUUGCGGCGAUCACCGUUGGAUCCUAUGAAAAUGGGGUUUCACGUCGUUGAGUAAAUGCGACGUCACACGUUCGACGACAAACAAGGAAACAACGCAAAGUUAUCCGAAGCGCAUAAAACAUUUUGUAGAAUUUCAACGUUCGAGUUGUUACUCGGACGUCGAGAUGAGCGAGAUCCCGGAUAGAAAUAGAAACACGAGGCCAGAGACAUCGCGCACUCGAGAGUACGACACAGUGAGAGACGCGAAAGUGUGUUGCGUCGCUGAGAGGUCGCGAUCCAAUCCGUUGAUGAAUCGGUCGACCACGAAAGUUGGAUGAUUCCGAAAAGUUGUUGAUGUCUUUACGUUGCACUGCUGGGAUCCAGCAGCGAUCUGACUGCGUAGGUUUAAUUUCAUAACAUAUUGUCGAUUUAGAUUUAACUUUUGUUUUGCUUCGUUUCCCAAGGGCUCUUGGGAGGCCACACAAACGGUUUUCCGAAGGAAAAAUUCAUGAUAAUUCGACAGGAAUCGAUGACAUCUUACAGGUACGAGCCUUUUUAACUCGGCAGUUUCUUUGGAGCCUCGAACACAUUUCGAUGGAAUUCGAUGAGGAAAAUCUGUGCAACGAUGUUGAACUUUUCAAUUGAACGGAAUUGCUAACUUUUAAAGAAUCUCAGUUUUUUUUCACAAUCUUGCGAUAAUUCUAAAGUUUUUAAUCUCAAAAAUCUGAACGGCAAAUUUGCGGAUAAAGUUGAAACGGUUUCACUGUUACGCGGCAAUGGUCCCCGGACAAAAUAUCCAGGUAAAAAUAUCCUGAGACACGAUAUUCUCUGUAAUUUUGUUGAGUCGAUUAGUCUUUUUAUUGUUUUUAUUUAUUUAUACCAGGCAGGCAGAACACACAAACACACACGCACACAAAUUCGAAUAAAUAAACAAAAAUACACACACCCAUUCAAACAUGGUUGCAAGAUCAUUUCGUUGAUAAUGAUAAUAAUGAUUUCCUUGAAUAAUAGAGAUAAAAAUAUAUCCAAUACAUUCAGUCUUACAAGUGUAGGAUAUUUUCAAAUCAAGGAUAUUAUGUCAUUAGGAUAUUUUAUAUCAGAAUAUUUCGACCCGAGGAUAUUUUGUUCCGAGAAUCUCUUGUCCAAGGAUAUUUUGUCUCGGGAUCUUUUGACUGUACACCGAUUUCACAAACUUAAAAAUAAGACAAGCAAACCUCUUUCAGUUGCCUUCAGAGCAGAAUUCGGUCUGAUAAUUACCGUGUACAAUUCGUCGUCCCCGCUGUCAGAUUUGUUCGUAGAUGUUUUUUUUUUUUUUAAUUGGUGGUAAAACAAAGGGCUCCACAAAAUGACCGAGUCAUUGGAUCUUUCUGAACGUCUAAGUUUGAAAAAUGUAUCAAUCGUAUGAAUUUCAUUGCCCAAACUUUCUGAUUCUUGUCUUGGCAAUUUUAGAGAAAAUGCACCAAAUCAUAAUCUCUUCUGAACUGCGAUAACUUAGCUCUUUAUUUUCAAAUGAAGGUAAAAUUGUUUAGUUAAUAUUUACAAUCGUUAACUUUGCUAAAAUCAUUCCAAAUUAUUUUUAAAAAUUUUAUCUCGCGCCAUAUUAACAGAGAUAAAAGAAAAAUAAAAAGAAAUAGAGUGAAAAACAAA